ACUUGCAGUUGCAUUAUGGGAACUGUAGUGACAUUCUGCAUGUCCUUUUCCACGCAUGUUUAUGGGGUGGUGGUUUAGUGUGAAACUGCUGAUUCUCUAGGGAUUCUGGAUGGCAGACGUGUGAUUCAGUGUGAUGAUGUGAUCAGAGAAACAUGGGCUCCCUGCUGUCUGCGUGUAGAAUUAACGUAAAGAAAAAGAAAGUAGAAGAGGAGAGGCAUUUGCGAGCUAAUGACAGGGAAUUCAACCUGUCGUUUAAGUAUGCU